UACGGGGGGUGCGAGCGUUGUCCGGAAUCACUGGGCGUAAAGGGCGCGUAGGUGGCGUCGUAAGUCUGUGGUGAAAGCCCGGAGCUCAACUCCGGGUCUGCCGCGGGUACUGCGAGGCUUGAGUGCUGUAGAGGGGGGUAGAAUGCCGGGUGUAGCGGUGGAAUGCGUAGAGAUCCGGCAGAAGACCGGUGGCGAAGGCGGCCCCCUGGGCAGUAACUGACACUGAGGCGCGACAGCGUGGGGAGCGAACAGG
rnacentral:rRNA from 1 species